ACGGGAGGCAGCAGUGGGGAAUCUUGCGCAAUGGAGGAAACUCUGACGCAGCCAUGCCGCGUGAGUGAUGAAGGCCCUCGGGUUGUAAAACUCUGUCUAAGGGGACGAAUGGUUUACGGGACAAUACAACGUAGACGUGACGGUACCCUUAAAGAAAACACCGGCUAACUCCGUGCCAGCAGCCGCGGCAAUACGGGGGGUGUAAGCGUUGUUCGGAAUUACUGGGCGUAAAGGGCGUGCAGGCGGUCUCCGCAAGUUGAAUGUGAAAUCCCCGAGCUUAACUUGGGACGUGCGUUCAAGACUGCGGGACUUGAAUACGGGAGAGGGUCGUGGAAUUCCUGGUGUAGAGGUGAAAUUCGUAGAGAUCAGGAGGAACACUCGUGGCGAAGGCGACGACCUGGACCGAUAUUGACGCUGAGACGCGAAAGCGUGGGUAGCAAACAGGAUUAGAUACCCUGGUA
rnacentral:rRNA from 1 species